rnacentral:rRNA from 1 species
UACGUAGGGGGCAAGCGUUGUCCGGAAUCAUUGGGCGUAAAGAGCGUGUAGGCGGUCCGAUAAGUCGGUUGUGAAAGUCAAGGGCUCAACCCUUGAAUGCCGACCGAUACUGUCGGGCUAGAGUCCGGAAGAGGUGAGUGGAAUUCCCAGUGUAGCGGUGAAAUGCGUAGAUAUUGGGAGGAACACCAGUGGCGAAGGCGGCUCACUGGACCGGAACUGACGCUGAGGCGCGAAAGCGUGGGGAGCAAACAGG